CAGUCGCCACGGUAAUACGAAGGGGGCUAGCGUUGUUCGGAAUCACUGGGCGUAAAGCGCACGUAGGCGGAUACUUAAGUCAGGGGUGAAAUCCCGGGGCUCAACCUCGGAACUGCCUUUGAUACUGGGUAUCUUGAGUCCGGGAGAGGUUGGUGGAACUCCGAGUGUAGAGGUGAAAUUCGUAGAUAUUCGGAAGAACACAGUGGCGAAGGCGGCCAACUGGCCCGGUACUGACGCUGAGGUGCGAAAGCGUGGGGAGCAAACAGGAUUAGAUACCCCGGUAGUCCCUGUCUCUUAUACA
rnacentral:rRNA from 1 species